GACGAACGCUGGCGGUGUGCUUCACACAUGCAAGUCGAACGGGGGUAGCAAUACUCUAGUGGCGGACGGGUGAGUAACGCGUGGGAAUCUGCCCUGGGGUGGGGGAUAGCAGGCCGAAAGGCCUAUUAAUACCGCAUAUGCCGUAAGGUAAAAGGAGUAAUCCGCCCGAGGAUGAGCCUGCGUCCGAUUAGCUUGUUGGUGGGGUAAUGGCCUACCAAGGCUACGAUCGGUAGCUGGUCUGAGAGGAUGAUCAGCCACAAUGGGACUGAGACACGGCCCAUACUCCUACGGGAGGCAGCAGUGGGGAAUUUUACGCAAUGGGGGAAACCCUGACGUAGCGACACCGCGUGAGCGAAGAAGCCCUUUGGGGUGUAAAGCUCUGUCGGCAGAGACGAAAAUAAAUAUGACGGUACCUGCAGAGGAAGCAUCGGCUAACUACGUGCCAGCAGCCGCGGUAAGACGUAGGAUGCAAGCGUUGUCCGGAUUCAUUGGGCGUAAAGAGUUCGUAGGCGGUUUGUUAAGUCUGAUGUUAAAGGCCCGGGCCCAACCCGGGUACCGCAUUGGAUACUGGCA
rnacentral:rRNA from 1 species